UCAUGAGAACCUUCUAAUUAAUGAAUUAAUUAGGGAGUAUUUGGAAUUCAACAAAUAUAAAUACACAGCCUCUGUCCUCAUAGCAGAUGACCACCUGAAGAAGGACACAGGGCCAAGAACCAUGACUGAAGAGCUUCAUGCUGCUGCACAGGCAGUCAUUAGAUGAUGUGUACACCAGGCUCUUCACCUCGGCUGUGUGUGGAGUAACUAACUUAUUCCCAGUGCCAUCAAUUAGACCACCACUGUCUGUAAAUGUUUGAAUGUCUACAAACAUUCAGCCACUCGUGGUUUACUGCAUCUGUAGAAUACUGAUCUGUCAUCUAGUUUGCUGGAUGCCACUGGGGGAAAUUUAUUGUUUUCAGGAUGUAUUUUUAAAGUUCUCAUUUGUGAAAUCUGAAAG
rnacentral:lncRNA from 1 species